rnacentral:rRNA from 1 species
AAGCCUGAUCCAGCAAUGCCGCGUGCAGGAAGAAGGCCUUCGGGUUGUAAACUGCUUUUGUCAGGGAAGAAAUCUUCUGGGUUAAUACCUCGGGAGGAUGACGGUACCUGAAGAAUAAGCACCGGCUAACUACGUGCCAGCAGCCGCGGUAAUACGUAGGUGGCAAGCGUUGUCCGGAUUUACUGGGCGUAAAGAGUAUGUAGGCGGACAUUUAAGUCAGAUGUGAAAUCCCCGGGCUUAACCUGGGAGCUGCAUUUGAUACUGGGUGUCUAGAGUGGAGGAGAGGAAAGUGGAAUUCCUGGUGUAGCGGUGAAAUGCGUAGAGAUUAGGAAGAACACCAGUGGCGAAGGCGACUUUCUGGACUAUAACUGACGCUGAGAUACGAAAGCGUGGGGAGCAAACA